AGGACGAACGCUGGCGGCGUGCUUAACACAUGCAAGUCGAGCGGUAAGGCCCUUUCGGGGGUACACGAGCGGCGAACGGGUGAGUAACACGUGAGCAAUCUGCCCUUCACUUCGGGAUAAGCCUCGGAAACGGGGUCUAAUACCGGAUAUGACCGCGCUGCGCAUGUGGUGUGGUGGAAAGUUCUGGCGGUGGAGGAUGAGCUCGCGGCCUAUCAGCUUGUUGGUGGGGUAAUGGCCUACCAAGGCUUCGACGGGUAGCCGGCCUGAGAGGGUGACCGGCCACACUGGGGCUGAGACACGGCCCAGACUCCUACGGGAGCAGCAGUGGGAAUAUGGACAAUGGGCGAAAGCCUGAUCCAGCAACGCCGCGUGAGGAUGACGGCCUUCGGGUGUAAACCUCUUUCAGCGCCGACGAAGCGAGAGUGACGGUAGGCGCAGAAGAAGCACCGGCCAACUACGUGCCAGCAGCCGC
rnacentral:rRNA from 1 species